rnacentral:rRNA from 1 species
CCUACGGGAGGCAGCAGUGAGGAAUAUUGGUCAAUGGCCGAAAGGCUGAACCAGCCAUGCCGCGUGAAGGUCAGUGCCCUAUGGGCGUUAAACUUCUUUUGUGCGGGAGCAAUAAUGGUCACGUGUGGCCAGACGAGAGUACCGUACGAAUAAGCAUCAGCUAACUCCGUGCCAGCAGCCGCGGUAAUACGGGGGAUGCAAGCGUUAUCCGGAUUUAUUGGGUUUAAAGGGUGCGUAGGCUGGGAGGUAAGUCAGCGGUGAAAUGCCCCCGCUCAACGGGGUGAAGUGCCAUUGAUACUGGCUAGCUGGAGUGCGGAUGCCGUGGGAGGAAUGUGUGGGGUAGCGGUGAAAUGCAUAGAUAUCACACAGAACACCGAUUGCGAAGGCAUCUCACGAAUCCGCGAUUGACGCUGAUGCACGAAAGCGUGGGUAUCAAACAGGAUUAGAUACCCCAGUAGUC